rnacentral:rRNA from 1 species
GACGAACGCUGGCGGCGUGCUUAACACAUGCAAGUCGAACGGAAAGGCCCUGCUUUUGUGGGGUGCUCGAGUGGCGAACGGGUGAGUAACACGUGAGUAACCUGCCCUUGACUUUGGGAUAACUUCAGGAAACUGGGGCUAAUACCGGAUAGGAGCUCCUGCUGCAUGGUGGGGGUUGGAAAGUUUCGGCGGUUGGGGAUGGACUCGCGGCUUAUCAGCUUGUUGGUGGGGUAGUGGCUUACCAAGGCUUUGACGGGUAGCCGGCCUGAGAGGGUGACCGGCCACAUGAGGACUGAGAUACGGACCAGAAUGCUACGGGAGGCAGCAGUGGAGAAUAUUGCACAAUGGGCGGAAGCCUGAUGCAGCAACGCCGCGUGCGGGAUGACGGCCUUCGGGUUGUAAACCGCUUUCGCCUGUGACGAAGCGUGAGUGACGGUAAUGGGUAAAGAAGCACCGGCUAACUACGUG